rnacentral:rRNA from 1 species
ACCCUACGGGAGGCAGCAGUAGGGAAUUUUCGGCAAUGGGGGGAACCCUGACCGAGCAACGCCGCGUGAACGAAGAAGUUAUUCGUAAUGUAAAGUUCUUUUAUCAGGGUAGAAAGAGGAAUUUGACGGUACCUGAGGAAUAAGCUCCGGCUAACUACGUGCCAGCAGCCGCGGUAAUACGUAGGGAGCAAGCGUUAUCCGGAUUUACUGGGUGUAAAGGGGGCGCAGACGGCAGCGCAAGCCAGGAGUGAAAGCCCGGGGCCCAACCCCGGGACUGCUCUUGGAACUGCGCGCCUGG